UGGGGAAUUUUGGACAAUGGGGGAAACCCUGAUCCAGCCAUCCCGCGUGUGCGAUGAAGGCCUUCGGGUUGUAAAGCACUUUUGGCAGGAAAGAAACGUCAUGGGUUAAUACCCCGUGAAACUGACGGUACCUGCAGAAUAAGCACCGGCUAACUACGUGCCAGCAGCCGCGGUAAUACGUAGGGUGCAAGCGUUAAUCGGAAUUACUGGGCGUAAAGCGUGCGCAGGCGGUUCGGAAAGAAAGAUGUGAAAUCCCAGAGCUCAACUUUGGAACGGCAGUGUUAACUGCCGGGCGAGAGGGUGUCAGAGGGAGGUGGAAUUCCGCGUGGAGCAGUGAAAUGCGUAGAUAUGCGGAGGAACACCGAUGGCGAAGGCAGCCUCCGGGGAUAACACGGACGCGGAGGGACGAAAGCGUGGGGAGCGAACAGG
rnacentral:rRNA from 1 species